CUAUCCUAUCCACUGCGAUUUCGUUACUAUGUCAGAACAAAAUUACCGCGUCGGGAUUUUUCUGUUUGGUGUCGUGUCACCGUCGAAGGUACGGGAACUGGAAGAGAGCAAUUUUGUUCUUUUGCAUGUGCGGUUCAUGCGAUUUGGUGGGAUAUUUGGAUGGAUGGACGUUCAAAGUAUAUAUUGACAGCAUAGGGAAAUUGUUCGUCUAUUAUGUGACAACAUUUGAGAUUCAGAUUCAAUGAGUGCGUAGAGAAACAAACGGACAA
rnacentral:lncRNA from 1 species